AGGUUAAGUUAGUAAGGGCGCACGGUGAAUGCCUUGGCACUAGGAGCCGAUGAAGGACGGGACUAACACCGAUAUGCUUCGGGGAGCUGUAAGCAAGCUUUGAUCCGGAGAUUUCCGAAUGGGGGAACCCACUGCCCGUAAUGGGGCAGUAUCCUUACUUGAAUACAUAGAGUAUGGAAGGCAGACCCGGGGAACUGAAACAUCUAAGUACCCGGAGGAAGAGAAAGCAAACGCGAUUUCCUGAGUAGCGGCGAGCGAAACGGAAGAAGCCCAAACCAAGAGGCUUGCCUCUUGGGGUUGUAGGACACUCUAUACGGAGUUACAAAGGAACGGAGUAAAUGAAGAGGUCUGGAAAGGCCCGUCAAAGAAGGUAACAACCCUGUAGUUGAAACUUCGUUCCCUCCAGAGUGGAUCCUGAGUACGGCGGGACACGUGAAAUCCCGUCGGAAGCAGGGAGGAC
rnacentral:rRNA from 1 species